CCGUUCUCGUGUUAUUUGUUGAAUUAUUUUUCGAGAUUCAAUGAUUGUCAAGAAGAACGCAAAUUGAAUUUCAAGUCAGUUAAACUCCACAAUGUUGAGCUUUUAACUCUAAACCUAUGACAUUACAAAAUGCUGGCUACAUUC